rnacentral:tRNA from 1 species
GCGGGAUUAGUUCAGUGGUAGAAUGAUAGCUUCCCAAGCUGUAGGCGCGGGUUCGAUUCCCGUAUCCCGCU